rnacentral:tRNA from 4 species
GAACUAUAUUUUUGUGUUUUGAAAACACAAUAUGGAAUUUUUGUCCUUAGUUUU